rfam:Asian citrus Psyllid, Diaphorina citri - Florida Strain, whole genome shotgun sequence.
GCCUAGUUAGCCUAGUUGGUAGCGCGUCUGCCUUGUAAGCGCUAGGCCGCGGGUUCGAUUCCCGCCCGGGGCG